rnacentral:ncRNA from 1 species
GAAACGGCAAACCCGCUGCGAGGCGGGGACGCAAAGUCAUGGGUCUCCGGAUGAGGAGAUCGCCAGACUACCGA